rnacentral:misc_RNA from 1 species
CUCAGGCUUCCUCAUUAGGCCUCAG